rnacentral:lncRNA from 1 species
GAAAGACACUAGAAUAAUAUGGUUGGUCUAAAGCACUCAAGAUUUAGAAUCAAUGGAGGCUUGUGUUCAAGUUGAGAUUUUACCACCACUUAUCAGCUGUAUCCUCUGGUUUUACUUAAUUGUAGGUCUACUGAUCACUGCCUUCCCUGCUCUGCCAUCAUACAAAUUAUCUCAUAGGAUUGUUUUGAGGAUUAAACAAAACACCAACCACGGGUCACAGAUUAUGACAUUUUCAAGGUUCGUUGGCAAAAGGGACUUGCCUUGUCUCAGACGAGACUAUGGAUUUUGACCUUUGGAUGAAUGCUGAAAUGAGUUAAGACUUUGGGGAACUGUUGGGAAGGCAUAAUUGUGUUUUGAAAUGUGAGAAACAGGAGAUUUGGGAGGGACCAGGGGUAGAAUGAUAUAGUCUGGCUCUGUGUCCUCACCCAAAUCUCAUCUUGAAUUGUAAUACAAAUUAUAAUCCCUACAUGUUGGGGAGAGACCUCAUGGGAGGUGAUUAGAUCAUGGGGGUAGUUCCCCCAAGCUGUUCUCAUGAUAGUGAGGGAGUAGUCAUGAGAUCUGAUGGUUUUAUAGGGGAUUUUUCCUCCUUCACUCUGCACUUCUUGCUGCUGCCUUGUGAAGAAGGACAUGUUUGCUUCCCCUGCCGUCAUGAUUGUAAAUUUCCUGAGGCAUGCGAUGAGUAAUAAUCACAUCAUGUAAAAUGGGGUAUCCAUGCCCUCAAGCAUUUA